rnacentral:rRNA from 1 species
ACGGAGGGUGCAAGCGUUGUUCGGAAUUACUGGGCGUAAAGGGCGCGUAGGUGGCCUGUUAAGUCGAACGUGAAAUCCCUGGGCUCAACCCAGGAACUGCGUCCGAGACUGAUAGGCUUGAAUCCGGGAGAGGGAUGCGGAAUUCCAGGUGUAGCGGUGAAAUGCGUAGAUAUCUGGAGGAACACCGGUGGCGAAGGCGGCAUCCUGGACCGGUAUUGACACUGAGGCGCGAAAGCCAGGGGAGCAAACGGGA